rnacentral:lncRNA from 10 species
CUCAUUUUAAAAGGGCACAUCCCCUCCACUUUCUGUCUCUCUCUUGCCCCUGUUUUUGCCAUACGAAGGGGUAGCUCCCCCUUCACUUUCCGCCAUGAUUGAAAGCUUCCUGAGGCCACCUCAGAAGCCAAGCGGAUGCUCCACCAUGCUUCUGUAUGAUGACCGGAGACACAGCUGUUGGAGGAAAAAAGUUUAUGUCAAUUAAAAUCCUGAAUUUCUCUGAUCUGGAAAGAAAAACUGCUAUGAACUCUUUAGCUGCAAGUACUUGCAUCUCAUAAAUCCAAUUUCCUCAUUUUACAUAUGGAGACACCAAGACCCAAGAAGGAAAAGCAACUAUCAACUGUUUAUGCCAAGUUGGUCGAUAUCAUGGCUAAACUGGAGCCCAG